rnacentral:rRNA from 1 species
AUACGGAGGAUCCGAGCGUUAUCCGGAUUUAUUGGGUUUAAAGGGUGCGCAGGCGGCCAUUUAAGUCAGCGGUUAAGUCGUGGGGCUCAACCCCAUUCUGCCGUUGAUACUGGGUGGCUUGAUUGCGGUCGAGGUUGGCGGAAUUCGUUGUGUAGCGGUGAAAUGCAUAGAUAUGACGAAGAACACCGAUUGCGUAGGCAGCUGACCAGACCGCAAAUGACGCUCAUGCACGAAAGUGCGGGGAUCGAACAGGAGUAGAUACCCUGGUAGUCCGCACAGUAAACGAUGAAUACUUGUUUUCGGCGAUAUAAUGUCGGAGGCAAAGCGAAAGCGAGAAGUAUUCCACCUGGGGAGUACGCCGGCAACGGUGAAACUCAAAUGAAUUGACGGGG